UAACGUCUUUCGCUAGGAAAACAACAGGCGCGUGACGCUAAUAGAACUCGAGCGUAAUAAUUGUUAGUUUUUAAAACAAAAUUAAGAUUUUGAAACCAUAUUUACGAUAUAUUAGAGUUAAUAUCAGGGUUACUGUGUCGCGCGCAGUGGAGAGGAAGCGUUAGCGGCUGUGCUCGCUCAUUCAUUCAAGCAGAAGCGCGCCGAGAGGAGGGGCCAGGCUGAGCCCGAGAGCAGCAACCGCUAACAAAGGAAGAGCACAAACCUGGCCGGGCUGCCGUCUGCUCGCCUGUUUUGUUGUGACCUAGCAUUUCAGUUUCCUCUAAAAUAACAGCAAGUUUUUAUUACUAAGAGCUGAGAUGGCUGACAUGUACAUUCGCGUGGCCGAGGAGGAGAACGAAGAGCCAAUGGAGAUUCCCUCUGAGGACGACGGCACGGUGCUGUUGUCCACGGUGGCGGCGCAGUUUCCAGGCGCGUGCGGCCUGCGCUACCGGAGCCAUAUUUCUCAGUGCAUGCGCGGCGUUCGCCUUGUCGACGGCGUGCUGCACGCGCCGGAGAACGGCUGGGGAAACCUCGUCUUCGUCGUCAGUUACCCAAAAGAAUCGGCAGACAAUAAGCGCAAAAUGGAUGAAAUAGAUGCCUCAUCUGCAAAAAUCAAGAGGGGAGACCAGAAGACCUCAGAUCUGAUCGUGUUGGGCUUGCCAUGGAAAACUACAGAACAGGACCUAAAAGAUUACUUUAGUACCUUUGGUGAUGUAAUCAUGGUGCAGGUGAAACGAGAUGCAAAGACUGGAAAUUCCAAAGGCUUCGGCUUUGUUAGAUUUGCUGACUGGGAGACCCAGGGUAAAGUGAUUACCCAGCGGCACAUGAUUGACGGGAGAUGGUGUGACUGCAAGCUACCCAACUCAAAGCAGGGUCCUGAUGAGCCAAUGAGGAGCAGAAAGGUGUUUGUUGGCCGUUGCACGGAGGACUUGACCUCUGAUGAUCUGCGUCAGUUCUUCAUGCAAUACGGCGAGGUCACUGAUGUCUUCAUCCCCAAGCCCUUCCGAGCGUUUGCUUUUGUUACGUUUGCUGAUGACCAGAUUGCUGCUUCCCUGUGUGGGGAGGACCUAAUCAUCAAGGGAGUGAGUGUUCAUAUAUCCAAUGCUGAACCCAAGCACAGUGGAAGGGGGCACAUGAUGGAUCGGGUUCGUUACGGCAAUGGCUUUGGUGCUCAGGCGUUCGGAGGCAGCCGCAGUAGCUCCAGCAGCCUGGGAAACUUCAGCAACUUCAAUCUAAACCCAGCUAUGAUGGCUGCUGCUCAGGCCGCCCUGCAGAGUAGCUGGGGAAUGAUGGGAAUGUUGGCACAGCAGGGUCAGUCAGCUACAUCUGGCUCGAGCGCGAGCGGUGCAAGCUCUGCCCGAGACCAGGCGCAGUACAGUACAGGAAACAGCAACUACAGCAGCAGCUCGGCUGCACUCGGCUGGGGCGCAGGCUCUAACCCUGCUAGCAGUGGGAGUGGGUUUAACUCGAGCUUUGGCUCCAGUAUGGAGUCCAAGUCUACGGGGUGGGGGAUGUAAGUGGUGGGGUUUGUUUGUUGAAGUGUUGGUAUUUUUAGUGUGUGUUUGGUAAGUAUUUUCUGAGAGACUUAACUCAUUUUGUGCAUUGCGGGAGUGGGAGUACAAGCAAAUGGGGAGUUUGGGGGAGACCAGAAUCUUUUUCUACAUUUAAACAAGAGAUUAGGUAAAGGUUUAAAACAUUGGUACACAAACAUCACCUCUGUAUGCUAUAUUGUUAUUUUGGGGGUAGAAAAUAUUUCAACUGGAUUCUUAAAAAAAUGCAUGAAGUUAGUCUGUGGUCACAAAUGUGCAUGUUUUCCAGACUACCAAAUUUGUACCUUCUGAAAGCCUUUUUUUGUUUGUUUGUUUUUUUUUAAGUCACUUGCAUUGGGAAGAAUCUCGUUGAAAAAUAAGCCUUUUAAGUACAUGUUUUAUUUGCAGGAAGAUACAUUUAAAAAGCCUUCAUCGAAAUCUCUUCUGCAGUUGCCAUCUGUGGUUUUGCCUGAGAAGAAGGCCCUCUGUGGCAGCACUGUGCGGCUGAGGUCAUAAUGCCAUCUUCCUCAUGUCUUAAAGCUCUCCUCGCUCGGCUCGCUGACACGGGGCCUGGAAAAUGGCUGGCUGCAGGUUGCGUCUGAACCCCAGAUGGAAAGUCCGUUUGGGGACGGAGGAAGACGGAGGAGUGUCUGGUUCCCCAUUACACCAUUAGCGUCUCUGGUAACAGAAAAACAGACUGUAGAAUGUAGCUAAUCAACAGCCACCACAAUGUUGGGCUUUAUUUUUAAAGCCAGAUAUCAAGAUUUGUCCUGCCAAAAAUCUUUAUGCAGGAUUUAUUGUACUUAAUCUGGAUCUAGAGCAAUGGCCCAAACAUUCUGGUAUAAAAUGGUAGUUAUGGCAAAAUACUGGUUUUGUACAAAAUUUUAGUUUGCUACAUAAUGCAAUAAUUGGUCCUUUUGUCAAUAGUGCCUCAAUUUUGAUUAUUUUUAAAUGAGGUCAAUUGUGGGAUUUGUGGUACAAAAAAAGUCUUUAUUCCAUAUAUAUUUACCAAAUGUCUCACUCUUUACCUAUUCACACUGUUUUAUACAGUCACAAUUUUUACAUUCACAGGCAGUGAAAAUGUUUUGCAUCUUCUAUAUUACAAUAAAAUACACAAUCUUGA